UCACUAUCACUACCAACAUGUAAUAGCUCACCAAAAUGUUGUAUUUCAACUGGGCAGAUAAAACAGAUGCUAAUAACCUCAAGAGAAGAAUGUUCCUUACAGAAGAAGGAAUAUUUCCCAACUCAUUUAAUGAGGCCAACAUUAUUCUGAUACCAAAACUAUACAAAAGCAUUACAAGGAAAGAGAACUACAGACCAUUAUUCCUGAUGUACAGGCCCUGUCUUCUUCCAAGUCUUUUGUCUUCAGUGGUGUCUGCAUGAAGUGGAAUCAUUUUCCCAAGCCUGCCAAAUCAAGAAUAAACUCAUCUAAGAAGGGUGGAGAAGCCUAUCUGAAGGGAUGGUUACCCAUAUUGUGAAAAAACUGUAAAUGCUUUCAAUUAAAUGAUGAUAUAAUAUA
ensembl:lncRNA novel transcript